CCGNUUCGGGGAGGUAGUGACAAGAAAUAGCAAACUGGUUGAUUUUCAACACAGUAUUGCAAUGAGANCAAUGUAAAUGCUUUAUCGAUUAACAAUUGGAGGGCAAGUCUGGUGCCAGCUGCCGCGGUAAUUCCAGCUCCAAUAGCGUAUAUUAAAGUUGUUGCAGUUAAAAAGCUCGUAGUUGAACUUCUGUACAUUUUCAGUUCUGGCUUUGGUCAAGCUGUUAAGUGUACAUCCGCUUGCAAACUUAGACCGGCCUUCACUGGUCGACUAAGGGAGUAAGCCCUUUACUUUGAAAAAAUUAGAGUGUUUCAGGCAGGCUUUGGCUCGAAUACAUCAGCAUGGAAUAAUGGAAUAGGACUUUUGUCCAUUUGGUUGGUUAUUGGACAUAAGUAAUGAUUAAAAGGGACAGUUGGGGGCAUUAGUAUUUAAUUGUCAGAGGUGAAAUUCUUGGAUUUAUUAAAGACUAACUUAUGCGAAAGCAUUUGCCAAGGAUGUUUUCAUUAAUCAAGAANGAAAGUUAGGGGAUCAAAGACGAUCAGAUACCGUC
rnacentral:rRNA from 1 species